ACGCGGCUAUUCUUACGGUAACACCAUGGAGGCUAUGAGUGUUUCAGACGUGCGCCAGUUUUUGAUGGAGCGUAACCUAAGCUCGCUAACCACGACCUUUGAAGCUCUGACACUUACAUGUAGAAGAAAAUUAGUCUGACAGAAAAUCUGAUUGAUGGCGAAGCAUUGCUUUCUGUGAUGGAAGAUCACAUUUUGUUGAAGGAAUUAAUACCUGAAGUGGGGUUGAGAGCAAAACUGAGGCGUAAAAUAAAAAAGAAGACUUGAGAGUUUUACUGAAUGACAUGAACAAAUACUAAUUUCAAUUGUGUUGUAGGGUGGUGUUGAGUUUAAUCUAAAUGUGGUGCUGGUGGGUCUAUUACCUAUUUUAAUUCUGUUGGUGGGGGGUGUAAAAGCAGUUAAAAUUGUGUUGGUGGUGCCCCAUUUUUGGACUGUCGUUCUUGCCCCCCCAGGCCUUUUUUCCUGGAACAGCCCUAAGAUAACUCACAAUAGAACAGAUCUCAAUUGUUCGGAAAACUGCUGAACAUUUCAUUUUUCUUAAAGCAUUAGUAACGCUUUUAGCCCAUAAAACAUGUUUCUUCGAAUGUUAAUAUUAAAAACUGUGAUCUGAUCCUUUAUCUGCAGUCUAAUAUCACCGUUUUUCAGUCAUUAACACAAUUGGCUUAUUUCAAGACAAAAGAAUAAAAAGUUGUUAAAAUGUUUAA